GUGCUGGCUUCGGCAACACAUAUACUAAAAUUGGAAAGAUACAGAGAAGACUAAUGCGGCCCCUACACAAGCAUGACACGGAAAUUCAUGAACGGUCCUUAAUUUUU
ensembl:snRNA Gm23864 predicted gene, 23864